rnacentral:rRNA from 1 species
GACGAACGCUGGCGGCGUGCUUAACACAUGCAAGUCGAACGGAAAGGCCCUGCUUUUGUGGGGUGCUCGAGUGGCGAACGGGUGAGUAACACGUGAGUAACCUGCCCUUGACUUUGGGAUAACUUCAGGAAACUGGGGCUAAUACCGGAUAGGAGCUCCUGCUGCAUGGUGGGGGUUGGAAAGUUUCGGCGGUUGGGGAUGGACUCGCGGCUUAUCAGCUUGUUGGUGGGGUAGUGGCUUACCCAGGCUUUGACGGGUAGCCGGCCUGAGAGGGUGACCGGCCACAUUGGGACUGAGAUACGGCCCAGACUCCUACGGGAGGCAGCAGUGGGGAAUAUUGCACAAUGGGCGGAAGCCUGAUGCAGCAACGCCGCGUGCGGGAUGACGGCCUUCGGGUUGUAAACCGCUUUCGCCUGCGACGAAGCGUGAGUGACGGUAAUGGGUAAAGAAGCACCGGCUAACUACGUG